rnacentral:rRNA from 1 species
ACGAACGCUGGCGGCAGGCUUAACACCUGCAAGUCGAGCGAGACCUUCGGGUCUAGCGGCGGACGGGUGAGUAACGCGUGGGAACGUGCCCUUCUCUACGGAAUAGCCCCGGGAAACUGGGGGUAAUACCGUAUACGCCCUUUGGGGGAAAGAUUUAUCGGAGAAGGAUCGGCCCGCGUUGGAUUAGGUAGUUGGUGGGGUAAUGGCCCACCAAGCCGACGAUCCAUAGCUGGUUUGAGAGGAUGAUCAGCCACACUGGGACUGAGACACGGCCCAGACUCCUACGGGAGGCAGCAGUGGGGAAUCUUAGACAAUGGGGGCAACCCUGAUCUAGCCAUGCCGCGUGAGUGAUGAAGGCCUUAGGGUUGUAAAGCUCUUUCAGCUGGGAAGAUAAUGACGGUACCAGCAGAAGAAGCCCCGGCUAACUCCGUG